UCUACGGAGAGUUUGAUCCUGGCUCAGGAUGAACGUUGGCGGCGUGCUUAAUACAUGCAAGUCGAACGAGGAACUAUGUACUCGUAUAUGGUUUCCUAGUGGCGAACGGGUGAGUAACGCGUUGGUGACCUGCCCCGAAGAGGGGGAUAACAAUUCGAAAGAAUUGCUAAUACCCCAUAAUAUCA
rnacentral:rRNA from 1 species